UACGUAGGGUGCAAGCGUUAAUCGGAAUUACUGGGCGUAAAGCGUGCGCAGGCGGUUUUCCAAGACAGAUGUGAAAUCCCCGGGCUCAACCUGGGAAUGGCAUUUGUGACUGGAAGGCUAGAGUGUGUCAGAGGGGGGUAGAAUUCCACGUGUAGCAGUGAAAUGCGUAGAGAUGUGGAGGAAUACCGAUGGCGAAGGCAGCCCCCUGGGAUAACACUGACGCUCAUGCACGAAAGCGUGGGGAGCAAACAGG
rnacentral:rRNA from 1 species